rnacentral:rRNA from 1 species
GCACAAGCAGCGGAGCGUGUGGUUUAAUUCGUUGCUACACGAAGAACCUUACCUGGGUUUGACAUAUAGGUUGUAGGGAACUGAAAAGGGACCGACCCUUCGGGGAGCCUAUACAGGUGUUGCAUGGCUGUCGUCAGCUCGUGUCGUGAGAUGUUCGGUUAAGUCCGCUAACGAGCGCAGCCCUCGUCGUAUGUUAUAUGUGUCAUACGAGACUGCCGGUAAAAAGCCGGAGGAAGGUGAGGAUGAUGUCAAGUCAGCAUGACCUUUAUAUCCAGGGCUACACACACGCUACAAUGGUCUGUACAAUGGGUAGCCAAGCCGCGAGGCGGAGCCAAUCCUGAAAGCAGGCCUCAGUUCAGAUUGCAGUCUGCAACUCGACUGCAUGAAGCCGGAGUUGCUAGUAACCGCAGGUCAGCAAUACUGCGGUGAAUACGUUCCCGGGCCUU